AGCUCCUCUCUGUUGAGGGAGAAGAGCUGAGCUCCGGUGAGGAUGCCCAGGUGUUCCACGGUCCUGGGGAGACACAGAGUGGGAGAUGAUGAUCCUGCUGCACAUGGCCUUGUGCCAGAGGUGAGAUGGUGCCAGCAGCCUCCCCAACUCCUUCUCCAGGGAAGGAUGAGCAUUUCAUGUGGCAAUAGAGCAAAUCUUACUCUUUGCUGAAUGACUUGGCUUCCAGCCAGGCUUUGACUUCUUCAGUGCUGGAUUCAAAGGUGAGGGGCACAAAAACUUGCUGAGGCUUUUCCACUUUGAAAUUCCUGUGGGGAGGCUGAAUUUUAUUGUUUGUGAUUUUCUUUAGCAGCUCGUCGUUCAGCUCAUCCAUUUGGUGAAUAAGUUCUGCAGAAACAGGGAAUGAAAUCAAAUCUUCAGUCAGAAAUCCCGUUAAAUGUGUUUGUGGGGAAAUUGUAAGGAAAACAGGGAUGAGGUUCAGCAUUUUUACUAAGUCUGUAAAUAUAGCCCAGGAAAGGGCUUAUUUUUGUAUUUUAGUCUAAAGAACAAGCUCAGGUGCUCUGUUGGAGCAAUAGGGUGAGUAAUGAUGUUUGGACCUUCAGAAUACCAUCAGGAACAAAUGUGUGCAGGGAGAUCUCUGUGGUUUUGGAGGCUGGAGGGCCCUAGAGGGGAGUGGGGUAUCUCCACUUUCCCUCUGAGCCAAAAUUCUCCCUUCAGCUUUUGAAACCUCACUUUCUCUUUGGGAGAAACUGAUUUCUGCAGUUCUUCUGCAGGAUGAAGGAGAGGAGGGAUCACGGAAUCCUAGCUGAGGGAUCUAAAAAGCUGCUUUAUGGUUUCUUGCAGUGUGACGGGGGAGAGAAUCUCACUUUCACUUGUUUUGUGAACAAAGUUACAGUGGGACCAGUUGUUUCUCAUGUUUCAGGGUGGUUCUCAACUCACCCUGUUCCUCCUGCCCCAUUCAAAGGACAUAAAACCCCUCAACACCCACCAGCUCCUCCUCCAGGUGUGUUCAGGGGUGUAACCUGAUCUGGCAGAGUCCUUGCUCCCAGUGGUGCUCUCAAGUGGUGACAAGGGACAAGGUCCCAUUCCCUGAGGGUUGAUGUUGGUAUUGGGGUUCUGCUUCAGCUUGUCAUCUUCCUGGGUUUGAGUUAUUUAGUUCCCUUUGGGCUGGUGAAAUAAGGGAACUGCCCUGCAAACUUCACAGCAAGAGGGGAAACUCCCAGCGCCCAUGAGGCAGCAGAGGUUGGGGGAGGAUUCUGUGUUUCUGAGAACCAUGUUCCCAUUUUCCUGUGCCCCUGUGUGGCCAUUUAUUUUUCUCCCAUCACCCCUUGGCUAUUGCCUGAUGUGGAAGGACAGAUCUGUGAGGAUCUAGAAUUGGAGAGUUGGGAUUGAGACCUUUUCAGUCCUCUCUGCUACUUGUAGUCAGGGAUUUGCUGAUCCCAGAGCUCCAGGUUUUGCUCCACAGCAGAACAGAAGUGGCAGGAAGCACAAACUGGGAGUGAGGAACACACUCAUGAUGAGAUGAGCUUAAAGGUCCCUGUGAUUCUGGGAAAACUACAGUGACACUUCAUCCAGUGUCACUUUCCCCAUGAAACUCCUGAGGACUGUGGAGAAUAACUCAGUGUUAUGAACAGAUUCGUGUCCAGCAGGGGAUGAGCAGGGAAUUGCUGUCCUCCCUCCUCACCGUGGUUAAGAUGGGACCAAUGUGUUUGAGCUGAGGAGGUGACCCAGCCCAGCACAGACAGCCUGUUCCAGCUUUGGAUUGGAGCAAAGGCCUGUGUCACUGCUAAGACACCACCAGGGAAAAAAGAGUUGGUGUUGGCUGCUAUGCUGAGCUCUCUUCUGCCCCUGGGAAGGGGAGGGGACACACCUUUUCCCAGGAGUGGUCACGUACCUCCAGGAUUUCAUCCUUCAGCACCGAGAGCUCGUUGGCGUUUCGUGCAGUGAAAUCGUAGCGGAUUUUGGCAAAUCUCCUGGGCACAGCCACUCCCUGGGCCUCGAAAUUCCUGCAGGAGAGAAAACCUGGAGUUUUAGUGGAGGCCCAUCUGAUAAUGGAACCAAAUGUGGGUUCACUGGUGGAACAAGAGUGAUGCUGGCUGGGAGUUUGCAUUUGGAGAGGCAGAGUCCCUCUGCUCCUCUUUUGAGGAAGAUUUUCAGCCCUUGUUUCAGUGAAAUCCCUUGGGGCUGGGAACAAGCAAGCAAGCCAAAGCUGUUGGGGUUUGAUAUGGGCCUUCCUGGGGGGCUGUGAGGCAGCUCCUGGAAGGGUGGAAGGAAGUGCUGCUUUAGGGCCUGGGGGGGCUGACACAGCAGGCUCCGAUUGCAGGUGCUGGGAAAGAUGAGGUGUGAAACCCUCCCUGUCCUGCCCAGUGGAAACAACUGCUCCAGAUGCCACAGCAGGGAGCAGCUGGGGGAAGAGGAAUUGAAAAUCCAAGCAGGCAGAACCCACUGGAAAUCUGUGGGGUUUUUAUCAGGCAAUGCUGAGCUGAAUUCCAUAAGUUCCCAGGAAAAAUGAGUUUGGAUGUUUCUAUGCUAAGAUGUAUUUGGGCACAGGGGAAGAGAAAUGCAUUUAUGUGUUAGCUUGGGACACCAGAAUAUACGGUUUUCAAAGCUGAAUUGGCUUUUUGUUUGAAGAGAGACAAAAUGAAUAUGGUAGACUGUUGAAAAUGGUGAAAAAGUGGAAUGAAAGGUUCUUUUUUACCCAAACUGAAAAGUUUUGCUUUGUUUUGUUUUGUUUUGUGUUGCCUGGCUUAGGGAAAUUUAGCAGAUCUCAUCUUUUUCUUCUCCAGCUGAGUGAAGUGCUAUCUUUUUAAUGAAAAAAAGCCUUAGCUGUAUGGAAAAUCAGUCUUGCCUUGUGAAAGGACAGGUAGGAACAAUUUUAAUGCACUUCCCAGGGAUCUUUUUGCUUAUGAAAUGUAACCUGCAUAGAUACCUGAUGCCAUAUUCACAGUGGCUCAGGUUCUCCUUCAGCUUAGGUUGAGCUGUUGUAACUCAGGGCAGCCAGGGCUUCCAGCACUGCCAGCAGCUCUGUUUUCCCCUUUCUGGCUUUGGCCAGUGGUUUGAAAUCCAUGUACUGGGGAAGCUCAGUUCUUUGUGAACCUGUAAAACCUGGCAUUGGAAAUUGAGCCCCUUAUGCUUAGUUUAAUUUAAUUUUCCUGCCCUCAUUAGCUGUGUUAGGUGGUCAGAAGGAGCUUGAAACCACUAAUUUAGUGCUGGAUACCACAACAAUGGUUGCAGGGUUGUCUUUAGCUCACGUGCUUUGGGACAGCUUCUGGUCUGGUUAUACCCCUGUGGAACAUUUCAGUUGUAAUUCCACGGUGGGGGAGAGCUUGGAGGAGUCAAGCUGAAUCCAGCAGGCCAAGAAGGGAGAGCUGCCUUUGCCCAGCAGUGCCCUGAAGGCCAGGAGGGGAAGGGAAUCCCAGGUAGGUUGGAAUUCCUUCUUCUGUCAGGAGGAAGGAGUUUGAGGCCGGUGUGUGCUUUGUGUGCACCUGGACUGUGCAAGGGGACCUGUGCUGAAGGUUGUGCUCCUGCUGGGGCUUUCAGGGCACUUCUCUGCAGCCAAGAGCCGAGGUGUAAAUAACUGUAGUACUGAGGGGUGGCUCUUUGUGCUAAUUUGGGGUCUUCUGGCUGGAAAACUUGUUCAGGCUACUCUGAAAAGAGCAAGAGCACAGCAGGAAAAAUGUCUGUCCCGGGGCUGUUGUCCUGGCAGAUUAACAAUUCACUUGCAAGUUUCCUCUCCUCUCCCUCUCCCUCCCACAGCGGACACGGGCGGGACCCGGACCCAAAGUCCCGGUCUCAGGGCCGGGAGCAGCCCCGGUUCGGCCCAGCUGUGAGGGGCGGACCCGACCCAGGCCCCACUUGUGAGUUAUUAAAUCCUUCACCACUGGACUUUGGGCAGAGGAAGAGAAGGAUUUGUUCCACACAGGUGUCAUCCAACGGGGAACAGCCCCUGUGCCAACCCAGCCUGGGCAGAGCACGCUGCCUCACUCCCCCAUUCUGCACCCUGGCUCCACUGCAGCCUGAGUUUUCCCCCAUUUUCCAUGUCUAGAAAGAGGAAAUUGUCCUGGUCAGGGUGUAAGACCUUAAACUGCACAUUGAUCUGGGGGCUGUGACUGGAUUCCAGCAGGGAAUUCACGGUUCUACAAAUAAAAACUGUUCCAGAGAGCA